rnacentral:rRNA from 1 species
CCUACGGGGGGCAGCAGUAAGGAAUAUUGGGCAAUGGUCGGAAGACUGACCCAGCCAUGCCGCGUGCAGGAAGAAGGCCCUAUGGGUUGUAAACUGCUUUAGCCAGGGGCUAAACCUACCGAUGCGUUGGUAGCUGAAGGUACCUGGAGAAUAAGCAUCGGCUAACUCCGUGCCAGCAGCCGCGGUAAUACGGAGGAUGCGAGCGUUAUCCGGAUUUACUGGGUUUAAAGGGUGCGCAGGCGGUUGCUUAAGUCAGAGGUAAAAGCCCUAGGCUAAACAUAGGGAUUGCCUUUGAUACUGAACAGCUAGAGUGAAGAUGGAGGGGGUGAAAUGUGUUGUGUAGCGGUGAAAUGCAUAGAUAUAACACAGAACACCGAUCGCGAGGGCAGCUCACAAAUCUUCAACUGACGCUCAGGCACGAAAGCGUGGGGAUCAAACGGGAUUAGAUCCCCCGGUAGU